GCACUUAUAGCUUAAUUGGUAGAGCAACACUCUUCGAAAGUGGAGGUUCCAUGUUCAAGUCGUGGUAGGUGCG
rnacentral:tRNA from 1 species